UGGGGAAUAUUGCACAAUGGGCGCAAGCCUGAUGCAGCCAUGCCGCGUGUAUGAAGAAGGCCUUCGGGUUGUAAAGUACUUUCAGCGGGGAGGAAGGCGAUAAGGUUAAUAACCUUGUCGAUUGACGUUACCCGCAGAAGAAGCACCGGCUAACUCCGUGCCAGCAGCCGCGGUAAUACGGAGGGUGCAAGCGUUAAUCGGCAUUACUGGGCGUAAAGCGCACGCAGGCGGUCUGUCAAGUCGGAUGUGAAAUCCCCGGGCUCAACCUGGGAACUGCAUUCGAAACUGGCAGGCUAGAGUCUUGUAGAGGGGGGUAGAAUUCCAGGUGUAGCGGUGAAAUGCGUAGAGAUCUGGAGGAAUACUGGUGGCGAAGGCGGCCCCCUGGACAAAGACUGACGCUCAGGUGCGAAAGCGUGGGGAGCAAACA
rnacentral:rRNA from 1 species